UACGAAGGGGGCUAGCGUUGUUCGGAAUCACUGGGCGUAAAGGGUGCGUAGGCGGGUCUUUAAGUCAGGGGUGAAAUCCUGGAGCUCAACUCCAGAACUGCCUUUGAUACUGAAGAUCUUGAGUUCGGGAGAGGUGAGUGGAACUGCGAGUGUAGAGGUGAAAUUCGUAGAUAUUCGCAAGAACACCAGUGGCGAAGGCGGCUCACUGGCCCGAUACUGACGCUGAGGCACGAAAGCGUGGGGAGCAAACAGGAU
rnacentral:rRNA from 1 species